rnacentral:lncRNA from 1 species
UGAUGGUGAUAAAAUAAUGCGGCUAAUGCAACACUAGAUGUAGAAGAGGAGAGAGAAACAAAAGAAACAAAGAAAGUACAUUUUAUAAGACCGGUGACUCUUUUGAUCACUAUAAGAAUGUCAAACUUAUUAAUGUAAAGAUAAGUAUUGACUAACUUUUAAUAAAUUUUCUUAAAAACAUUACGACUAUUUUGUUCACGAAAUGACAUUCACG